AGUGAACGCUGGCGGUAGGCCUAACACAUGCAAGUCGAACGGCAGCACAGUAAGAGCUUGCUCUUACGGGUGGCGAGUGGCGGACGGGUGAGGAAUACAUCGGAAUCUACUUUUUCGUGGGGGAUAACGUAGGGAAACUUACGCUAAUACCGCAUACGACCUACGGGUGAAAGCAGGGGAUCUUCGGACCUUGCGCGAUUGAAUGAGCCGAUGUCGGGUUAGCUAGUUGGCGGGGUAAAGGCCCACCAAGGCGACGAUCCGUAGCUGGUCUGAGAGGAUGAUCAGCCACACUGGAACUGAGACACGGUCUAGACUCCUACGGGAGGCAGCAGUGGGGAAUAUUGGACAAUGGGCGCAAGCCUGAUCCAGCCAUACCGCGUGGGUGAAGAAGGCCUUCGGGUUGUAAAGCCCUUUUGUUGGGAAAGAAAAGCAGCAGGUUAAUACCCCGCUGUUCUGACGGUACCCAAAGAAUAAGCACCGGCUAACUUCGUG
rnacentral:rRNA from 1 species